GUUGCAAUUGGUUAACCUGUAUGGGGCCACAAGCUGAGUGCAUGGCGUCAUUCUGUCCCAUGUCCCUGGGGAAGGUCUGAAACUAGGGCCAAGCGCAGACCCAACAGGUCUCUCCCUGACCCCAGAGAGCGGGUCUCCAUUCAAGUGCACUCCUUUCUUAUUGUAACCAUUAUUACUAAGUUCUACU
rnacentral:RNase_P_RNA from 2 species